ensembl:lncRNA
CCCAUGCUAACGACCGCCAUCCGUCACCAAGGGAACGUAGAAGAAGAAGAGGCUGUUUAUAAACAAACAGUGCUGAGAAUUUCCUAACGAGGCGAGGGGGGCCGAUAGGGCUGUCUCUCACUGAAGCUAGCGUAGGAUGCUAACACCCCCUUAUCAACCGAUGGAGAUUAAGCGGGGUGGGGGGGGGUCUAGGGCUUGGCUCCAAAGCACCGUCGGCAUGAAGUAUUUUUAGAAGAAUUUAGUUUUUAUGUAUGCCGGUGUGUGGUCUUGUUCCCAUGACACGACCUGUAUAGUAUUAAGUGUUAAAAGAUAUCUCACUCUCUGGGGCCUGGAACCUUGGUUCUAGGUAUGAACAAAAUUAGGUAUUUGUGUUUUAUUUCUGCAUAAAAUAAACGGAUGGACUUAAUUUGAAACAAAAUGGACAUUUUUAUUUGAAGACACAGAAAAAAAACAAUGUAUAAUAAAAUACAACAUAAUAAAUAAAAAUAAUAAAUUGAAUGCAAAGAAAUGAUGGUAAUAAUGAUGAAAGUGGUUCAGAAUGUCCAUGAUUGAUCAAUUUAAUAAGACAGCCCACUUUCAACUAUUUACUUUGUGUGUGUGUCUUUUUUUGUGUGUGCGUGUGCGUGCGUGUGCGUGCGUGCGUGCUCGGGAAGUUGUGUGUGUGAGGAUGGAGUUCGGCGUGUAGUCAACAUUGCAAAAUGCUACUGGUCGACAAAUGAAGAAGAUUGCAGGUCAGCCAGACCAAGAGACUCACUGCCACUAAAACCGGGGGCCGAUCUUAGAAGCUGAGCCCAGCGAGGAGCCUGAGACCUGGGUGCCGGAGAGCAGAGAUCAGCCCGGAGCCCCGCGGUCAGAGAGGACGUCAGAGUCAGGGAGACCGUACUUCCAGUGACAGUGACAGAGGCGUGCAUCGGGGGUCCAGAUGAGGGAGUGGUCUGAGAUGGAGAUGAUGUCGUCGGGGGGCUUCCUCUCGGUCCCGGACCUGUACGGCCCCCCCGAGCCCCUCCAGUGCUACG